AAUCGACUAGUUCGUUUGCUGGUAUGCCAAUAUGCGAGGGAGUCCAUAUGAAAAUAAGCGAUUUUAUUUCAGAUGAAUCGCACUUUAGCGUUUUCUUCUGGUGGAUAUGGGCUUUGGUUGUUUGCUGAUUCUGGAAUGACUAUUUGUUAAAAUUUCUUUAAAACAUCAAGACCUUCUGUGCAAUUAAGAGACUAACUUUAGAAAAAUUUUGAUGAUCAAAUACUGCUUUGGAUGGAUUUACGUGGAUUGGUUUUGCAAUGGCAUCUUGAUUUUUAUACCCUACGCCACAAGGUGGUCAGGGUAUUAUGUCUUUGUGCAUUUGUUUGUAACAGGCAAAAGGAAACGAGAUAGACCCAUAGUUCCUUUUGAUGAUCUGCAUAGAAUCACAUUCUGAGUCGAUUUAUGCAAGUCCGUCUGUCCAUGUAUUUUUGUAAACAAAGUACAGUUCGCAUUUAUUGCCCUAUCCAGAUCAUUUGUUUGGCCCAAGGACGAACCCUAUUUGCAAUUGGAGAUAAUCGGUCAAAAUUUAGAUAUAGCUCCCAUAUAUAUCUUCGUCCGAUUUGCCCUUUUCUGUGCACCAAACAUCUAAUAUUUGUCCAAAUGGGAUGGAAUUUGGCACUUACGACCGAAUUGAGUCUAGAAGCUAGUAUGUCAAAUUUGGUGAAGAUCGGUUCAGAUAUAGCUAUAGCUCCCAUAUAUAAUGUUCAUCCGAUAUGUUAUAUUAGUUACCCACAGCCGUAAUAUGCACUCCGUAACAAGAUUUUCAGGGAAAUAUAUCAAAUACCACUCAGAAAUAUCUUUACCAAAUUUUAUCGAGAUCGGUUCCGAUUUGGAUAUAGCUCCCAUAUAUAUCUUUAUCCGAUUUCAAAUUAAAUGUGCACCAAAUGGGCAAUACAAGUCCGAAUUUAAAAGAUUCAAAUGCUUCGGCAUAUUGAGUCUUUUGAACUUUAAAUUAUAAUUAUAAUCGUAGCGUGUAUGAUU